UAACUAUUCUUUGGUCACAGCCUAGUCGUUUUACGUGACCAUCUAGUCAUCCACCCUCCACGUGCAAUUGGAACCCUAAUCCAUCACCUGCUACGAUAAGUUCAACUUCAUCGCUUAUCCAUUUUUGAGAAAAUUUGGAUAAUAUGCAAUAUCCACUGUUCAUCAACAUCGGUUGAAGCUCGUCUUGGUUUGACCUGUGCAAAGUGUUGCAGCUGCUCAAACUUCAAAACUGCUUUAAGACCACCCGUAGGGGGGGGUUAGCAUUUUUCUCAAAAAACGGCCAAACAGGCCUUGGGACCGCCCCCGGGAGCAUUUUUCUUGAAAAAAUGGGGUGUGCCAAGUUACUUUGGUAGCUGCUGUUUUUAAUUUCAAGGUUUGUGAUGUGACUAAGUGAUGCAGAUGUGAUUUGUUUUGUCCUGAGGGUUCGAACCUUAGUAACAUCGCCACGAGAAUACUGUAUUGGUAACAAGAUCAUUUGGUACAUGUCCAUUAUUAUCACUCUUUGCGUAUUGUUUUAUGAAAGCCUAACAAUUUUUAUUAGCAACAAAAACCCUGGGUAGCUGGGAUCACCCAGCACACCUGCCUAGAGGAAACCCACAAUCUCCAAAAACUACAACAGUACAACUACAAACAUCUAGUUGGUUUUGCUACUGUUUCAUUGAUGGUCAAGAGAGUCGAAGCCAUGUGAGAGUUCGAACCCACCACCAGCCAACUGUUGAAACUCCCGCUCGCUAUUGUCCCUUUUGUGCCUGAAGAUGUUGUUGUCUUUGUUGUUGGUGCCCUCUCCGGUGCUACUGCCAAAAUAAUUAUUGCCCAUCUUGACCGGAUUAAACUCACCUUGCAGUUUAUCAUUUGAUGAAGUUGCAAAUUAUAACUUUAUUUCAGCAGUCCAAGGUUUGGGUAUGUUUAUAGAGCUGGUUUUCAAUUUGAUACAGGGAUUAUGCUUUUGCAAUGUUAUAAGAGGUUGGUUGUUGUUAUGGCUGGUGAGUUAAAUAUGUUGGGGGAGGAGUAUGAUUAUUGGCAUGAAGUUGCUGCUUAGAAUGAAUAUUUAAGCAUGGGUUCGGUUUGGCUUGGUUUGGUUUUAGUUUCCAACGGUUCAGUUUCGGAAUCAAACCGUAAACACCCCUAGUGGGUAUGGUUAGUUGUAUUGGUUGGAUGUGCUAAAAGGUUGCUGAUUGGGGCUGCUAUGGGGGAAUAGAGGUCAAGACUACUAGGAAGUUUGAAGAGAAGAUUUAUCUCUUAUAAGUUCGGUUAAUUUUUUUUAUUAUUGUUUGUUUCUCUGUUUGGGUGCUUUUAAGAGGUUAAUGAUUCCAGUUCUACCCCUCUUGUAAGGUAAAAAGAAUGUAGCAUAUCGUCCAAUUUUUUAUGAAUGGGCCGUUUGGGUUGUAUUCUUUUCUAACGGGUCAUAUGUAUUCUUUGUGUAGCGUGUAUUAUUUUAUUUUAUUAUAAACAAAAAUCAAACACGUGUAUUAUUUUUUUUAUUA